GUAGGAACUUUGGGGCUGAGCUCGAGAUAGCAGGGAACUUGUUCAAUGUUCAGGACAGGUUGACAGCCAAUUAUCAGCAUCUUUUUCUCUACAGAAUUCCUUUUGUAUAUACAUCCUCAAUUCCAAUUCAGGCCUUGAAAAGGGGACCAUUUUUCCAGACAGUGAUUUCUUCCAAUAUCUCAUCUUGUGGCGUCUGUGUAUUUUUAACAGGCAGACCCAUGGGGUUACAGUCUUGCAAGCCUUGCAACUCUUGCCUACAAAGUAAAGAGGAAUGGAGAGCGGCUGGUAGCUGCCCGUGUGUGUGCGUCGACUGGAGAUAUUGCUCUGACCGUUGCUGUGACAUCUGCUGCCAGAUGUGUGUGGACGUUUGCUCUGGCUUGUGUUCGGGGGACUGCAGCUACACCUUCUGCACUCUGUGCCUCAGCCUGACACAGAAUUGCAUCUCAGUUUUUACCACCCCCCCACAACAUGAAACAUCGGGUGCACAAAAUUGAUUGACAGGAGAGAGGCUCUGACGGCUUGUUCUGCAGCGAACGUGGACCCAAUCUGCUGCGGCUGUCUGAUGAGCACAGAGACGAGUCACACAGAGAGACUUUGACAGCAGAUACAUCAGAGUGAUGUCUUCUGACCGGCACACCCUGCAAAGUGUGCACACGGGGAUUUCAAACAGCGGCCCACACAUUAAGCUCAGGCUUAUGCUGGACAAAAGCAUUUUGAACAAAAUGGGCUUCUCUUCCCCCCUCGAGUCAAACCACUGUGAUGGCAGAGACUAUAUAUUGAACCUUAUGACUCAUGUCAUCAUUUCACCAGCCUCAUGCUGCACCUCAUUUCUUGCAGAUGGAUUUGCCGUGUAUCUGGAUGUUUGGACUACAAAGAAAAGAAGAACCCUUUUUCCCUCCCCCCUCUCUCUCGCUCUCCAUAUGUUUCAGCCCAGGCAAAGUCUGGAAGACUGAACUGAACGGUAUUAAACAUCCUCACCCUGUCACACGAGCAGUACUUGACCACUUGUUCGGUUUCUGCAGGAUUUCUUUGCACUUUGAGGCAAACAAAAAUAUAAUUUUGUUGCACAGUGUACAA